AAUUCAAGCAAUAGCACGUUAAAUGCAUCAGUUCCCAUCGGAUCACUAAAGUUAAGCAACGUUGCGCGUGGUUGGUAUUUGGACGAGUUCGAUUUCAGGACGAUAAGACCUUAGCAGUUACAGUUC
rnacentral:rRNA from 1 species